UUGAUUUGAAAAAAUAGGUAUUUGGUUCAAAAUGUGAUUGAAAUUGAGGCUAAAGAAAAAGUAGUUUAACGUAUUUGAUUAAAAAUACUUUUGAAAUUAAAGUUAUAGAAUAAUUUUAAAAAAUAUAUAUUAAUAUU